rnacentral:rRNA from 1 species
UAGCGUAGGGGGCAAGCGUUUAUCCGGAGUUUACUGGGAGUGUAAAGGGAGCGUAGACGGCAGCGCAAGUCUGGAGUGGAAAUCCCAUGGCUUAACCAUGGAACUGCUUUGGAAACUGUGCAGCUAGAGUGCAGGAGAGGUAAGCGGAAUUCCUAGUGUAGCGGUGAAAUGCGUAGAUAUUAGGAGGAACACCAGUGGCGAAGGCGGCUUGCUGGGCUUUUACUAGACGGCUGAGCUCGGAA